rnacentral:rRNA from 1 species
AUGGAAGUGACAAGGGACACGGCGCAGUCCGGCUCCGGCGGCCUGGCGGCGCUCGCUGCGAGCCUCGCGAGCCGCCUCGUCGACGACAACGUGGACAACAACCUGGUGUUCUCGCCGCUGUCCAUCUACGCGGCGCUCGCGCUCCUGGCCGCCGGCGUUCGGGGCGCCACCCUUGACGAGAUCCUCGGGGUCCUCGGCGCGCCGUCUCACGCCGCGCUCGACGAGUUCCUCUCCCACGUGGUGGAGGACGUGCUCGAGGACCGUGCCGAGUCUGGCGGGCCGCGCGUGGUGUUCGCGUGCAGCGUGUGGGCCGUCCUCACGUGCCCGCUGAAGCCAGCCUACCACCGCGCCCCCGCGAGCACGUACAAGGCUGAUGCCAGCACCGUGGACUUCUGCAACAAUCCGGAGGCGGCACGGGGUCAGAUCAACGUGUGGGUCGCGCAGGUCACGAGGAAGCUGAUCGGCUCCGUCCUUGGCCCGGGAUCAAUAACGCCGCUCACCCGCGCCAUGCUCAGCAAUGCUAUGUACUUCAAGGGCAAGUGGGAGAAGCCCUUCCGCAAGAAGCGCACGGCCGACAAACUCUUCCACCAGCUCAAUGGCCGCGUCGUGGGCGUGCCCUUCAUGCAGAGCCGGAGCUCCCAGUUCAUCGCCGUGCACGACGGGUUCAAGGUGCUCAAACUCCGGUACCAAAUGGCUCAAGCCCAGCCACCGUCUCGCACUCGCGGGUCACACUGAUGCAUGACAUCUUGCUUCCUGCACAAGCACCUGCCGAAGGAGAAGAUCCACGUUAGGGGGUUCCGGGUGCCCAAGUUCAAGCUGUCCUUUCACAGGAGCGUGGUCAGCAUUAUCAAGAAGCUGGGGCUCCGGUUGCCGUUCAACGAUCAAGUCAAUCUAUCUGUCAUGGUGGGCUUGCCAUUGGUCCUGAGUGACAUCAUCCACAAGGCUGUCAUCGAGGUAAAUGAGGAAGGCACCGAAGCUGCAGCCGUCACAUUGAUGGAUAUGGAAAUUGGAUGUAGUCGAAUACCGUCGCCGCCUCCUCGGGUGGAUUUCGUAGCUGACCAUCCGUUUGCAUACUUCAUAGUGGAAGAGGCGACCGACGCAGUUGUAUUUGUGGGGUACGUCCUCGACCCAUCAGCCAUAUGA